GAGGACCCCAACCCCCGACCUACCUCUCCAACUCGCCCUCCCUCCCAGCACCGCCGUUCCUACGAUCAGCCGGCCACCGCAACCUCCCUCCCAGCUGGCUGCCAUGGCACCACCACCUCCUCCCCCGGCAGCCUUGUACAUCGGGAGGCGACCACGCGCCAGGCCUAGGUGGGUCUCGGCCUCCCUCCCCGCUUUGUCCAAGGCUAGGAUCUCCCCUCCCCGACCGAUCUGACGGAUCAAGGCGGUGGCGACGGUCGCACCGCUUCCCUGCAAGUCGAGUAAACCUGCCCCCUCCCCUGCAUCGACGACGCCUGCAGACCCACCCUCCGCUCACUCUCACACCGGGUUCUCCACGUGCAUGUCCUUCUCUGAGGCGACCCUCAUCUCUCUCUGCCUCCAUGAGGAGAACCGCCCUGGCUUGCCCCCUGACCGUCGAUUUCCAGAUCAAGGUCUCCGUAGUAGGAACAAGGUUUCUUGUCAUCGGAUCCAUGAAGAUUUGACGCCUUCCUUGCGCUGGUGCUGGUUCAUCGGCCAGAUCCCAUCAGAGAGGAGGAGGUUCAUGGCGGAGGGAUGCACGGAGGAGAGGGACGACCUUGCAGGCACCACGUCAUGCGACUGGUCCUUGUUACGCCAUGGCCAACGACACCGACGACAUGUGCAAGGCCACCAGCGCAAAAAGCGGCGCCCAAGGACUGACACCUCGCCACGAUAUUCGGUGCCCAGUCGCACAUCAAAGUCGGCAAAUUUGACAAUCCAGUCAAUGCACUGAUGGAUGGAUCAUGCAGGUUGCUCUGCAGGUUGGUCUAAAGACACUGGUAGAAUUGCACCUGCAAGCUCUGAACAUUCAUGUCAUCAGCUGUGCUUGGUCGAUGUGGACUAUUCUUUCCUCAACACAAGAAAAAUUCAAUUGUCUUCGUGGGAAAUUAAUUGCACAAUUAUUUCAGACAAGUAUGGGUGGAGUAUUAUCUUCUACAGAUCAGGUGGCAAUGGUACUCCCAACGAAUCAGCAGAAGAUUACACCAUGAGGAUGCCGCAUAAUCAACUGCAAAAUAUGCAUGCACACAGAAUUCAGCAAGCCAACCUACAAUAAUUCUCCAUGUUGCAAAGCUUGAGAUUGAGGAUGUCGGAUACAUUUUUGUCAUAGGAUGCAUUCUUGUCACAACAGCAGGAUGCCAGAAUUUUACACGGUACUCCUCCCGCUUGAUCACAGGAACAAGAAUUUUGGUAACAAUCCUGUCAAUGCGCUGAUGGAUAGAUCAUGCAGGUCCCGUUGAGGCCUCACGCCAAGCGGAAGAGUGGGACGAGGACACUUGGCAAGGAUGCGGUAGCUCAUGGUUAACCGUGCACAUUGUUGGCCAGGAGUGUGUUAAUUUUUUGGGCUUGAAAUUAACUACUUAACCAGGGACGUGAUGUAUUUACUAAUGUGGAUUUCUAUUGUUCAUUUGCAGCGGUAUUAGGCUGAAUGGGGAAUCUAUUGUGCAUCUAAUUUGUAGAACUGGGGGCAUAGCAAUUUUGGCUGAUCCGUAGACAAUGCAACAAUCAUUUAAUGCCACAAAAGAUAUGAAAGGUGAUGGUAUGCAUGCCAUUGAGGUCAUGUUUCUAGGCAAAUUACAGUUUGAUUGAUUUUAUUUCUAGGCAAAUUACAAAUGGAUUAGAGUUCUCUCGGAGCCGUAAUUAGAAGUUCUCGCCAAUGGUUUGAUUGCUUUUCAUUUAUCUUUAAGGCUAUGAGGUCUGAUUGUGCUUCCAGAUUGGAAUUGUUGGAAAGCUUAGGUUUCCUAAUCUAGCUAACAAACCAAGCAGUCUAUUUCACAGCAAGACAAUGGCAUAUCUAUAUGUACCUUGAGCGCUACAUUUUCUAGCAGCAAGAUAAUAGCAUAUCUAUAUGCACGUUGAGAAUUGCAUUUUCUACCAGAGAUUGUACUACUAUUACUACUAGACUGAUAUAAAGUCAGCGAGUUCAAAAUUUUCAUGUUUAGUUUCGAUCGAUGUUAUGGUUCUUCAUUGAGUUUUGUUCCAGGUAUUUUAUCUAGAUCCUUGAGAUGAUAUUCAUAUUAGCCUCCAUGGGGUUGAAUUCUGAAUCAUAAAGAAGCUAGGAGAUAUGUCUUCCAGGUAGUGGUGUUGAUGCUUAUGAUUUUCUACAAUAAACAUAUGAUGAUAUUGAGAUGACAUGGGUAAUCACCUGCUGCGACUAAAGGUUUAGUUCAUACUUAAGAUGAUAUUGUUCGGAUGAUUGCCCUUGUACUAUUCUUUUUAGUAGGUACUAAAAUAUCUUGUUGUACGGAAAUCUGAUUUCUACUAAACCUUUGUCAAGACGCUCAUUUCUCUUGUACUAAAAUCUGCAUUUUUUUACUGAUUACUGAAAUGUACCUUGUUACCGAAAUUUCAUAGGAAGGAGGUCAAUGGAGCAAAAGGCACAAGAAGGAAGACGCAUCACCACAGGGAUGACGUUGUCGGCAGCGCCUUUGGAAGGAUUCACUCUAGAGAAGUUACGGUAGUCGGCCAUCAUGCUGGGGAAGCAGGGAGGAUGCCGUUCAGAACGCCUGGGUCUAGAGGAGUGUGUCCAGGUGGAUAGGUGGUGGCCGAGGAUGGCCAUGAGCAGUUGGGUUGGGCAAAUGUCAACGCGAUGGCGUCGUUGCUCAGGGUACCAACUCCUUGUUUUGACCCAACGUUUCUCGGCUAGCUGUACAUGGUCGGGACUGUUUCGUGCAUCUAAGCGACGGCUCAUGCCAUCCACUUCCAAAGCAAUAAGCAAAAUAUUUCAAAAGCCCGUGACAGCGCACGUCCAUCUCUCAAAAGUGAUCACGUGCCGCGAAGCCUCCUCGUAGUGAUGGGAGUCAUGCGGAAGUCCACAUCCGAUCUUUUUCCUGCUUUGGUGUGAUUAGAUUUAGUCUAUCGUUAGAUCAGCAUGAGAGGUAUGUUCUUGCCUCAAGUAGCACCAAACAUUUUUUUCUGAAUAUCCACAAGGAAUGUUCUUCCAUGGUUCACUACAUGUUGAUAUUAUUUGGUCUCAAAAUUCUGUUACUUCACUGCCAACAGAAGUUCACUCCUCAGUCUAAAGCAGCUCACUACAUUAAAAAUCAAAAUAAGAAAUUCACUAUGUGAAAAAAGGACGCAAAAAAAUCCCGAAAAAAACCCGACAAAUGCCUGACCUGAAGUCCACUUGUAAUGUCUCACUUGGUAAUACCAAGAAAUUCAUUUCUUUUCAAGACAUUCACUUUGUUGGGGCCAAACGGUUUACAUUUUCUUGUCUUAAACUUCCGUGGGAAAUUUACUCUUUAUUGACUGGAAGUUUGAAUCGGCUGCACUGGACGUUUAAUUUCGCCGUGAGAAUUUAAAUUUUUCUUUCAAAGGGAGUCUUUGAGUAAAGCCAUACAUGGUAUUAUUAUAGGAUAAGUAAUUUAAGUGAGCACCUAGUGAUUGCAAGUAGAAAUUUGGGAUGGUCUUAGUAUUCAGUUCCCUGUCUCUGGUCCUAAUUUAGACUUUAAAUCAUUGCAAUGAUACAAAUAUGCUCUUCCUUUUGUUCCACGGAGUGAGAAUAUCUGACAACACUUGGAGCUUCCUUAGGAUGGAGAUUUGGAAGCAUUUAAAUUUUGUGAAGCAGGCUGGACAAACCACUUUAUCCUUGACCAUCAAACCAUGUUAAGUAUGAUUUUCUCAU